GAUUAGCCUUUGCUUAUGCAAAGAGGAAUCUACAAAGGUAUAUAUUUCUCAACUCACUUUGGUUUGAGUUGAGUCUUGGUUCACCAAUCUACUAGGCUUUGAAUUUCAUGGUUAAUGUUUUGUUGUUGAAUGCAUGCAAGCAUGAUUCCGCCUUUUAAUUGUUAAAUGCAUGCUAUAGAUGUUAUUCAAAUGAACAUGUUUUAACAAAAUCAUCCUUCAAUAAACUUGAAUAUGAUUGGUUUAUAGUUGUCUAAAGAAUAAUAGUACUUCACUAUUAUUAAGAGUUUGUAAUUUUAAUUGUUAAAAGACUCAAGCUCUUCAAAACGUUAAAAUUCUAUGUUGUGUAACAUUCUAAAGAAUAGUCUAUGAAUGUUGGUUUCGUCAACCUAGCAUAAAAUGGUUAUACGUUGGGAGUUGUCCACCAUUUUCUUUUAUGAGAACAAGCUAAUAACAAAGCAUAUGGACAAAAAGGGAAUAGUUUCAAAAUGAGUCACAACAUAUGGUUUAACAACAAGACAAUCCAAAUUCGGCACCUCUUGUAACUAUAACGCUCUAUGUAGUUUCGAUAAAGAAUUAUAUCAACCACCUAGAAGGAAUGGUUGAGUUUCUAUAUCCUUAGUAGGAGCCAUGCUUCCACUAAAGACUUGGAUAAUUCUUAUAUGACUACAUUAAAGGUCUUAGUAUGACUAAAACUUGAAGUAUGGUGUAUGACACCAUAUAAUUUAAAUGAAUAGACUUGAUAAAACAAGUCACACAUAUCAAAUGGAAUUACUUGAGAAGGAAUUCUUUUGUGUAUGUUCGUUUAAAUAACUUGUGUUAGCUAGAGUUGUUGAUAGUCCCAAAAGUGUUGAGACAUCAUCAAAUAAGCUAAUGGAUCUCAAUGAUUGUCAAUAGAUCCAAGACAAGUUAGUGGGAGCAAUAUGCAUUCAAAUCAAGAAAAUGUAAGUGUUAAUUUUUGAAUGAAUGCUAAGUUACAACAAGGCCAGUGGGAGUGAUGUCAUAAUUUGAGCAACAAGAUAUGAAUAAAGUCUAUUUGAUAGACUUGAUAAAACAUAGAUGUUACUCAAAAUGACAAAAUUGUGAGACGGUCAAUUUUGAAGUAUAGACUUGAAAUUGGACUUAAUGAUAUAGCAAGGCUAUCUCAAGAACGUUCAAUGGGGAAAUUAAAUCUCAAAUGUUGAAGAUUUGAGAAGGUGUUUUCCUAUAUGAUAGAAAAUCACUUUCAUAACCCUUAUUAUGAAUGUGUCACAAAAUCACAAAAGGGACACAUGUAUGGACUUGUGAGAUGAUAUCCAAAGGUGAAAAACCAUUGGGGUUGUCACUUUAAGAUAUUACUAUAGCCCAGGAUUAGAACCGUAGCAACUGAUAGAGUAUUAUUGCCUUUAAGAAAGGAACAUCAAAGUCGGACUCUAAAAGCGUGCAUUCACUUAGGUUAUAAACCAAAGUGAAAAUAACCCAUUUUAACAAAUGGAACUUCAUAAUGGAUGAAGUACUAAUCAUAUGAAUGUAUUGUUAGUAUUGUACUACAAUGGUCUCAAGGUUGGAGCAAAGUAUGUAUAAAGUAUACAAACGAAAUAUAUGGCGAUAUAUUGUUUUAGAAACUGCUUCAAAAGGUGUUUUGAAUAGAAGGGGUUCUUAUAGAACCAAUGAUUGAAUCCAAACCAUAAGGUCGUUAGUUGGACACUACGACAUAAUGGGGCGAUAGCUCAAGCCAUGGAAUCAAGGUCUCAUUAAAGUAUUUGAACACAAGAAAGAGACAUCAUCAAAUGUUUUAGAAACAUUUGAUAAGUAAUUUCCUUUUUAAAUUAAAAGGAUUAAUACAUAACCAAGUUUACCUAUGAGCAUGAGUUCACUCGACUAGCAUUUAUAAGAUACACUAGUGAUUGACUUUAGUGUAAGUGGUUGAUUGUUGGAAAUAUGCCCUGAAAGUCAAUCUUUGGAAGAAACCUUUCAGGACAAUGAAUGUGUGUAUAGAUGACUCUUAUACAUCAAAUGGCAAAGAUACUAAUUAGGACUAUCUCAAUAAACGAUAUAUGUCCUAAAUAGUGAAUCCAUGGACAAUGGAUCGAUGGAAGAAGUAAUCUAAUGAUGUUAGACUACAAAGACCUUCUUCACAUAACCAUCAUGUCUAAAAAGGUUCCUGGUCAUAAGAUUGUCAGAGGGAUACUGACAAUGCAAAAGACCAGUACAUACUAUGUCCCCUUCAAUUGGAAGGAUGGAAAGUCUCAUCCCAUUGGUGUAGUGACACUAAGACAGGUAUGUAGGUGCUCAUUAAGGGAAUGAGUUCACUGAACACAAUCGAACGAGAGUACUUGCAUGGAGGUCUACUCACAUGUCAAGCAAGUAACUCUAAUGGUUGGAAUAAUGUAAGUAGUCCUUUGACCUGAGGCAUCAUAGUUGUCUUGUGGUUAGGUCCUUGAUCUUUGAUUAUGUCAAAGUCACUCCAUCCGCGGGUGUCCACGGCAUAGUUGGGGUUAAGCCACUUAGCCAUGGAGGCAAGUAGAUGCACAACAAGGGAUCUCUAAUCCUCGUUAUGAGAGGAUGAAUACUCUAAGAUAUGAUUCGGGAAUCUUCGGCCGAAGUAUCGAGCGUAAUAAAGGAAAGAGUUCCUAUACGACUCAAUUGAAUCAUAUAACAUGGAAUAAUCACAUUAGGGGUUUGACUUAAUAUAUCCAUACCCUAAUAGUGUGAUUGAGAGUAUUGUUUUAGAGAAGGAUCGAAUUACAUUGUAAUUCCAACUGAAUAGGUUCUUCGAACAAAUUCUACAUUAGCUUGGGUAGCCAUGAUAUAUGGUUAGAUGUCACUCAUGGCUUGUGAGUUCUUCUAGAUGACUAAAUAAGUAGUCGUCAAAGAAGAAGGAGAAUUAAAAGUAAGUUUUAAUUCACUAAGUGAUUGGAUUAAAUAUAAUCAAUUGGAUUGGUGCCAAUCACCUCACUGCCUUGCUAAUUAGAACCUAAAAUGAUUGUACACCGAUACACUCUUGUAGUGAGACAACUAAUGGAUGAUGGAAAUAAUUAAUUGGAUUAAUUAAGUGUUGUGAUUAAUUAGAAAGUCUAAAGAAAUCAUAAAAGCGAUAAAAGAUCGUUUUGGGCUUAAAGAAAAGUUCGGGUUCAUUUGGGCCAUUAAGCCCAAACACAUUGGGCUUUUAUUUAAGCAUAGGAUGACUUGAAAUAAUAAAAGCCCAAAGCCCAAACAACACUAAAGAGGCCGGCCAAAUAAGGGAAAGGGAGAGAGAGGAAGUCAAGUUGUUGACUUGUUUCUUUCUGUUAUAAAAGGAACUUUAUAGUGAAAAGUUCAUUAGGGUUUUUUGUGUAGUGUUUUCACAAAAGAGAAAAACAUCUCUCUCUCUCUAAAUUCACUCUAAAAGGCCGGCUAACAUAAGGGAGAUUUUAGCUAAUCAUCUUCUCUCCCUUUUUGGUUAUUCCUCCAUUCAUCUCACUACACUAGUGGGUGUGGAUCUUUAGAGGUCUUCAACCUUGGAGAGUAAAGGAGAACCAAGGAGCACUCAUUCUAGCAAAGUGGAGGAGGCAAGGAGGGAGGCUAGGCUCAAGGAGUUCCAACAACAAAGGGCUUGGAGGUGGUCUAUCCUUGGUCUCAAGUCUAGAUCAAGAGGUAUAAAUCUACUCCUACACUUUGUUCUUCAAGAAAAUGUUUUGAUGCAUCUUAUAUAAACCUAUGCUUCUUGAAGGGGGUUUGCAUGACUAUAGCUUUGAUAUUAUAUGAUAACAUGCUUCCGUUGCGUAUGUAUAUGAAUUUUGAAUUGUAUAUGCAUGCUAGUCACUAGAAAUCCCACAUAAAUCUCAUUAUUUCCCUUCAUUCACCACCUUGUUGUAGCACAAGUGUCUAGGAUGUGUAUGGAUAUAUGGAUGGAAUGGAUUUGCACAGCUAAGAGAUGAAAAUGUAUGGAUUAGUGAGAUGUAGUAUGGCUAGAUGAAUGGAUAAUGGUCACGGCAAGGAAAUUGUGUUUGUAAAUGAAGUUGUGAGAUGUGAAAUGUAGUGUCUUUGGAUGAUGGCCCCCAAAUUAUGGUGAAGAGUGGAUGUAUUU
rnacentral:lncRNA from 1 species